UACGAAGGGGGCUAGCGUUGCUCGGAAUCACUGGGCGUAAAGGGCGCGUAGGCGGCCAUUCAAGUCGGGGGUGAAAGCCUGUGGCUCAACCACAGAAUUGCCUUCGAUACUGUUUGGCUUGAGUCUGGUAGAGGUUGGUGGAACUGCGAGUGUAGAGGUGAAAUUCGUAGAUAUUCGCAAGAACACCAGUGGCGAAGGCGGCUUACUGGUCCGGAACUGACGCUGAGGUGCGAAAGCGUGGGGAGCAAACAGG
rnacentral:rRNA from 1 species